GUUUUUGAGGUGAAUACUGACACCUUUGUGCUUUAUAAAGAAUAUUUCCAUAAAAAAUUGGAUGUGCAAUACCUGAACGUAUAAGAAGUCUGCAUGUUGAGCUAUAUUUAUAAUGAUGUCCUUAUACCGAUGAUAAAAUUUAGUAAAUGUUUUGAAUACAUGACCAUGUUAAAAUUUAUGAUUAGGUUAGUUCAAGUGAACUACUUAUAAUAUGGUAAUGAUAUUUUGUUUGAAGAAGUCAUACUGGCAUUACCAAAUCUAAUAUCUCUAAAACUAUUUGGCCCUGUUUCUUCAUUUAAGGUUAGUUUGCAUAAUUUACAUGUCAAGGUAUUUAUAUUAUAUUUCAACAUUUGCAUUUUAUUAUCAAAUAAUAAGCAGAUGAAACAUAUCUCUGUGUCACUAGUUUAUCAGAAGUAUACAUUUUUGUUCCCAGAGCAAUCAUGUUGUGUAGACAUAGAGAUACCUGGUAUCCAUGUGUCUGUCUGUCCCUCUGCCCAUCUGUCAGUUCGUCUGGUAUUGUUAUGCUCUCACAUGAAAUACUCUUUGAAACUUAUAUCAUGGGUUUAUCAGCAAGACAAGUUAGAAAUCAGUACUGAUUUUUUUUUUAAAGUUAUGUCCCAUGAAAAUAUCAACUGGUUCAACUGACAUCAACCUCAUUCAUGUCAUUUAUAGGGUUCAUGGGUCAAUGAAAAGUUUUCAUAGAUAAAAUAUAUCUCAUAUUUUAUAAGUAGUAGUCUCAGUUUUAUUGUAUGGUUUGACAUUCAACCAUGAUAGUUAAUGCAGGCGAGAUAUAUCAGUGUGUGCACUCUUAUUAGAUACAUGCAAACCAAAAGCAUUUGUUAUUUUUGUUACAGAUCUUCAGUUUAAUAUGAUUCUUGAAACAAAAGUGUAAACUGUUUUUUUAUGCCCCACCUACGAUAGUAGAGGGGCAUUAUGUUUUCUGGUCUGUGCGUCUGUUCGUCCGUCCGUCCAUUUGUUCGUCCGUCCGUCCCGCUUCAGGUUAAAGUUUUUGGUCAAGGUAGAUUUUGAUGAAGUUGAAGUCCAAUCAACUUUAAACUUAGUACACAUAAUCCCCAUGAUAUUAUCUCUCUGAUUUUAAUGCCAAAUUAAAGUUUUGACCCCAAUUUUACAGUCCACUGAACAUAGAAAAUUAUAGUGCGAAGUUCAGGUUAAAGUUUUUGGUCAAGGUAGUUUUUGAUGAGGUUGAAGUCCAAUCAACUUCAAACUUAGUACUCAUGUCCCCUUUGAUAUGAUCUUUCUGAUUUAAAUGCCAAAUUAUAGUUUUGUUCCAAGUUCACAGUCCACUGAACAUGGCAAAUGAUAGUGCGAGGGGGCAUUCGUGUACUAUGGACACAUUCUUGUUCAAUUUAUUAAAGGAGAAGUUACAUUUUAUUUAUGUUAUAUUUUGUAAUAAAUUUUAGGAGAAGGGAGUUAAAUUUUAUAUUGAAU
rnacentral:lncRNA from 1 species